GAUGAAGAACGCAGCGAAAUGCGAUACGUAAUGUGAAUUGCAGAAUUCAGUGAAUCAUCGAAUCUUUGAACGCAUAUUGCGCUCUCUGGUAUUCCGGAGAGCAUGCUUGUUUGAGUAUCAGUAAACACCUCAACUUCCAUAUCUUUUUUGAAAUGGGAGUUGGACUUGAGUGAUCCCAACGCUUUUCCUCACCGAAAAGUGGCGGGUUACUUGAAAUGCAGGUGCAGCUGGACUUUUCUCUGAGCUAUAAGCAUAUCUAUUUAGUCUGCCUAAAAAACAGAUUAUUACCUUUGCUGCAGCUAACAUAAAGGAGAUUAGUUAUUGUGCUGACUGAUGCAGGAUUCACAAAGACAGGCUUCGGCCGACUUUGUAAACUCGAUCUCAAAUCAAGUAAGACUACCCGAUGAACUUAAGCAUAUCAAUAAGCGGAGGA
rnacentral:misc_RNA from 1 species